GCAGUCGAGCGGACCGACGGGAGCUUGCUCCCUUAGGUCAGCGGCGGACGGGUGAGUAACACGUGGGUAACCUGCCUGUAAGACUGGGAUAACUCCGGGAAACCGGGGCUAAUACCGGAUGCUUGAUUGAACCGCAUGGUUCAAUCAUAAAAGGUGGCUUUUAGCUACCACUUACAGAUGGACCCGCGGCGCAUUAACUAGUUGGUGAGGUAACGGCUCACCAAGGCGACGAUGCGUAGCCCACCUGAGAGGGUGAUCGGCCACACUGGGACUGAAACACGGCCCAGACUCCUACGGGAGGCAGCAGUAGGGAAUCUUCCGCAAUGGACGAAAGUCUGACGGAACAACGCCGCGUGAGUGAUGAAGGUUUUCGGAUCGUAAAACUCUGUUGUUAGGGAAGAACAAGUACCGUUCGAAUAGGGCGGUACCUUGACGGUACCUAACCAGAAAGCCACGGCUAACUACGUGCCAGCAGCCGCGGUAAUACGUAAGUGGCAAGCGUUGUCCGGAAUUAUUGGGCGUAAAGCGCGCGCAGGCGGUUUCUUAAGUCUGAUGUGAAAGCCCCCGGCUCAACCGGGGAGGGUCAUUGGAAACUGGGGAACUUGAGUGCAGAAGAGGAGAGUGGAAUUCCACGUGUAGCGGUGAAAUGCGUAGAGAUGUGGAGGAACACCAGUGGCGAAAGCGACUCUCUGGUCUGUAACUGACGCUGAGCGCGAAAGCGUGGGGAGCGAACAGGAUUAGAUACCCUGGUAGUCCACCGC
rnacentral:rRNA from 1 species